CGAAGAAGGACGGGACUAACACCGAUAUGCUUUGGGGAGCUGUACGUAAGCGUUGAUCCAGAGAUUUCCGAAUGGGGGAACCCACUAUCUUUAGUCGGAUAGUAUCCUUACGUGAAUACAUAGCGUGAGGAAGGCAGACCCAGGGAACUGAAACAUCUAAGUACCUGGAGGAAGAGAAAGAAAAAUCGAUUUCCUGAGUAGCGGCGAGCGAAACGGAAAGAGCCCAAACCAAGAAGCUUGCUUCUUGGGGUUGUAGGACACUCUAUACGGAGUUACAAAAGNGAGGACCAUCUCCCAAGGCUAAAUACUCCCUAGUGACCGAUAGUGAACCAGUACCGUGAGGGAAAGGUGAAAAGCACCCCGGAAGGGGAGUGAAACAGUUCCUGAAACCGUGUGCCUACAAGUAGUUAGAGCCCGUUAAUGGGUGAUAGCGUGCCUUUUGUAGAAUGAACCGGCGAGUUACGAUUUGUUGCAAGGUUAAGCGGAAAAAGCGGAGCCGUAGCGAAAGCGAGUCUGAAUAGGGCGCAUAAGUAACAGGUCGUAGACCCGAAACCAGGUGAUCUACCCAUGUCCAGGAUGAAGGUAAGGUAAUACUUACUGGAGGUCCGAACCCACGCACGUUGAAAAGUGCGGGGAUGAGGUGUGGGUAGCGGAGAAAUUCCAAUCGAACUUGGAGAUAGCUGGUUCUCUCCGAAAUAGCUUUAGGGCUAGCCUCGAGGUAAAGAGUCAUGGAGGUAGAGCACUGUUUGGACUAGGGGCCCUUCUCGGGUUACCGAAUUCAGAUAAACUCCGAAUGCCAUGUACUUAUACUCGGGAGUCAGACUGCGAGUGAUAAGAUCCGUAGUCGAAAGGGAAACAGCCCAGACCACCAGUUAAGGUCCCCAAAUAUAUGUUAAGUGGAAAAGGAUGUGGGGUUGCUUAGACAACCAGGAUGUUGGCUUAGAAGCAGCCACCAUUGAAAGAGUGCGUAAUAGCUCACUGGUCGAGUGACCCCGCGCCGAAAAUGUACCGGGGCUAAACAUAUUACCGAAACUGUGGAUGAACCUCUUUAGAGGUUCGUGGUAGGAGAGCGUUCUAAGGGCGGUGAAGUCAGACCGGAAGGACUGGUGGAGCGCUUAGAAGUGAGAAUGCCGGUAUGAGUAGCGAAAGAAGGGUGAGAAUCCCUUCCACCGAAUAUCUAAGGUUUCCUGAGGAAGGCUCGUCCGCUCAGGGUUAGUCGGGACCUAAGCUGAGGCCGAUAGGCGUAGGCGAUGGACAACAGGUAGAGAUUCCUGUACCAGUGCUAAUUGUUUAACCGAUGGGGUGACACAGAAGGAUAGGGAAUCGCACGAAUGGAAAUGUGCGUCCAAGCAGUGAGUGUGAGAAGUAGGCAAAUCCGCUUCUCGCGAAGCAUGAGCUGUGAUGGGGAAGGAAAUUAAGUACGGAAGUUCCUGAUUUCACGCUGUCAAGAAAAGCCUCUAGGAAGAGUAGUACUGCCCGUACCGCAAACCGACACAGGUAGAUGAGGAGAGAAUCCUAAGGUGAGCGAGAGAACUCUCGUUAAGGAACUCGGCAAAAUGACCCCGUAACUUCGGGAGAAGGGGUGCUCUAUUAGGGUGCAAGCCCGAGAGAGCCGCAGUGAAUAGGCCCAGGCGACUGUUUAGCAAAAACACAGGUCUCUGCAAAACCGUAAGGUGACGUAUAGGGGCUGACGCCUGCCCGGUGCUGGAAGGUUAAGAGGAGUGCUUAGCUUCGGCGAAGGUACGAAUUGAAGCCCCAGUAAACGGCGGCCGUAACUAUAACGGUCCUAAGGUAGCGAAAUUCCUUGUCGGGUAAGUUCCGACCCGCACGAAAGGCGCAACGAUCUGGGCACUGUCUCAACGAGAGACUCGGUGAAAUUAUAGUACCUGUGAAGAUGCAGGUUACCCGCGACAGGACGGAAAGACCCCGUGGAGCUUUACUGCAACCUGAUAUGGAAUGUUUGUACCGCUUGUACAGGAUAGGUAGGAGCCGAAGAGACGUGUGCGCUAGCAUACGAGGAGGCAAUGGUGGGAUACUACCCUGGCUGUAUGACCAUUCUAACCCGCCACGCUUAGCGCGUGGGGAGACAGUGUCAGGUGGGCAGUUUGACUGGGGCGGUCGCCUCCUAAAGAGUAACGGAGGCGCCCAAAGGUUCCCUCAGAAUGGAUGGAAAUCAUUCGCAGAGUGUAAAGGCACAAGGGAGCUUGACUGCGAGACUGACAAGUCGAGCAGGGACGAAAGUCGGGCUUAGUG
rnacentral:rRNA from 1 species